GGCCUUGCGCUCUUUUAGCGGCCGAUGUCAGAUUAGCUAGUUGGUGAGGUAAAGGCUUACCAAGGCGACGAUCUGUAGCGGGUCUGAGAGGAUGAUCCGCCACACUGGAACUGAGACACGGUCCAGACUCCUACGGGAGGCAGCAGUGGGGAAUUUUGGACAAUGGGGGCAACCCUGAUCCAGCCAUGCCGCGUGAGUGAAGAAGGCCUUCGGGUUGUAAAGCUCUUUCGGCCGGGAAGAAAUCGCAUGGGCCAAUACCCUGUGUGGAUGACGGUACCGGAAUAAGAAGCACCGGCUAACUACGUGCCAGCAGCCGCGGUAAUACGUAGGGUGCGAGCGUUAAUCGGAAUUACUGGGCGUAAAGCGUGCGCAGGCGGUUUUGUAAGACAGGCGUGAAAUCCCCGGGCUUAAUCUGGGAACUGCGUUUGUGACUGCAAGGCUAGAGUACGGCAGAGGGGGGUGGAAUUCCACGUGUAGCAGUGAAAUGCGUAGAGAUGUGGAGGAACACCAAUGGCGAAGGCAGCCCCCUGGGUCGAUACUGACGCUCAUGCACGAAAGCGUGGGUAGCAAACAGGAUUAGAUACCCUGGUAGUCCACGCCCUAAACUAUGUCAACUAGGUGUUGGGUGGGUAAAACCAUUUAGUACCGUAGCUAACGCGUGAAGUUGACCGCCUGGGGAGUACGGCCGCAAGGUUAAAACUCAAAGGAAUUGACGGGGACCCGCACAAGCGGUGGAUGAUGUGGAUUAAUUCGAUGCAACGCGAAAAACCUUACCUACCCUUGACAUGCCAGGAACUUGCCAGAGAUGGCUUGGUGCCCGAAAGGGAGCCUGGACACAGGUGCUGCAUGGCUGUCGUCAGCUCGUGUCGUGAGAUGUUGGGUUAAGUCCCGCAACGAGCGCAACCCUUGUCGUUAAUUGCCAUCAUUUAGUUGGGCACUUUAACGAGACUGCCGGUGACAAACCGGAGGAAGGUGGGGAUGACGUCAAGUCCUCAUGGCCCUUAUGGGUAGGGCUUCACACGUCAUACAAUGGUCGGUACAAAGGGUUGCCAAGCCGCGAGGCGGAGCCAAUCCCAGAAAGCCGAUCGUAGUCCGGAUUGCAGGCUGCAACUCGCCUGCAUGAAGUCGGAAUCGCUAGUAAUCGUGGAUCAGCAUGUCACGGUGAAUACGUUCCCGGGUCUUGUACACACCGCCCGUCACACCAUGGGAGCGGGUUCCGCCAGAAGUAGGUAGCCUAACCG
rnacentral:rRNA from 1 species